rnacentral:rRNA from 1 species
AUUGAACGCUGGCGGCGUGCUUAACACAUGCAAGUCGAGCGAGCGGCGGACGGGUGGGUAGUGUCUUGGAACCUGCCUGAUGGAGGGGGCUAACUACUGUAAACGGUAGCUACAACCGCAUACCAUCCUAUCUGCCCAGAGGGGAUUAGCUAGUCGGUGGGGUAAUGGCUCACCUAGGCGACGCUCCCUAGCGGAUCUGAGAGGGUGACCAGCCACACUGGAACUGAGAAACGGUCCAGACUCCUAAGGGAGGCAGCAGUGGGGAAUAUUGGGCAAUGGGCGCAAGGCUGAUGCAGCCAUGCCGCGUGUGUGAAGAAGGUCUUCGGGUUGUAAAGCACUUUCAGUGGGGAGGCGGUACUCGAAGAGGAAGCAAAGGCUAACUCCGGGCCAGCAGCCGCGGUAAUAC